UGGGGAAUAUUGCACAAUGGAGGGAACUCUGAUGCAGCGACGCCGCGUGAACGAAGAAGGCUUUCGAGUCGUAAAGUUCUUUUAUAUGGGAAGAUAAUGACGGUACCAUAAGAAAAAGCCCCGGCUAACUGCGUGCCAGCAGCCGCGGUAAUACGUAGGGGGCUAGCGUUGUCCGGAAUCACUGGGCGUAAAGGGUUCGCAGGCGGAAAUGCAAGUCAGGUGUAAAAGGCAGUAGCUUAACUACUGUAAGCAUUUGAAACUGCAUAGCUUGAGAAGAGUAGAGGUAAGUGGAAUUUUUAGUGUAGCGGUGAAAUGCGUAGAUAUUAAAAAGAAUACCGGUGGCGAAGGCGACUUACUGGGCUCAUUCUGACGCUGAGGAACGAAAGCGUGGGUAGCAAACAGG
rnacentral:rRNA from 1 species